rnacentral:rRNA from 1 species
CCUACGGGGGGCAGCAUUGAGGAAUAUUGGUCAAUGGCCGGACGGCUGAACCAGCCAUGCCGCGUGAAGGUCAGUGCCCUAUGGGCGUUAAACUUCUUUUGUGCGGGAGCAAUAAUGGUCACGUGUGGCCAGACGAGAGUACCGUACGAAUAAGCAUCGGCUAACUCCGUGCCAGCAGCCGCGGUAAUACGGGGGAUGCAAGCGUUAUCCGGAUUUAUUGGGUUUAACGGGUGCUUAGGCUGUGAGGGAAGUCAGCGGUGAAAUGCCCCCGCUCAACGGGGUGAAGUGCCAUUGAUACUGCCGUGCUGGAAUGCGGAUGCCGUGGGAGGAAUGUGUGGUGUAGCGGUGAAAUGCAUAGAUAGCACACAGAACACCGAUUGCGAAGGCAUCUCACGAAUCCGCGAUUGACGCUGAUGCACGAAAGCGUGGGUAUCAAACAGGAUUAGAUACCCUAGUAGUC